rnacentral:rRNA from 1 species
AACGAGAAAGUCGCAAGGAUGAGUAAAGUGGCGUACGGGUGAGUAACACGUGGAUCAUCUACCCUCUAGUGGGGAAUACCGUUGGGAAACCGACGACAAUACCGCAUAAGCUCGAGAGAGGAAAGCAGCAAUGCGCUGGAGGGGGAGUCCGCGGCUGAUUAGCUAGUUGGUGAGGUAAUGGCUCACCAAGGCUCAGAUCAGUAGCCGGCCUGAGAGGGCACACGGCCACACUGGCACUGAAACACGGGCCAGACUCCUACGGGAGGCAGCAGUGGGGAAUCUUGCACAAUGGGGGAAACCCUGAUGCAGCGACGCCGCGUGAGCGAUGAAGCCCUUCGGGGUGUAAAGCUCUUUCGGCAGGCAAGAUAAUGACGGUACCUGCAGAAGCAGCUGCGGCUAACUACGUGCCAGCAGCCGCGGUAAUACGUAGGCAGCAAGCGUUGUUCGGAGUUACUGGGCGUAAAGGGUGUGUAGGCGGUCGGAUAAGUGUGGUGUGAAAUCUCCCGGCUCAACUGGGAGGGUGCGCUACAAACUGUCUGGCUAGAGUGCGGGAUGGGAAAGUGGAAUUCCUGGUGUAUCGGUG